rnacentral:rRNA from 1 species
UACGGGGGGAGCAAGCGUUGUUCGGAUUUACUGGGCGUAAAGGGCGCGUAGGCGGUCAGCACAAGUCAGUUGUGAAAUCUCCGGGCUUAACUCGGAAAGGUCAACUGAUACUGUGCGACUAGAGUGCGGAAGGGGCAACUGGAAUUCCUGGUGUAGCGGUGGAAUGCGCAGAUAUCAGGAGGAACACCGGUGGCGAAGGCGGGUCUCUGGGCAGUAACUGACGCUGAGGAGCGAAAGCGUGGGGAGCGAACAGG